rnacentral:lncRNA from 1 species
AUGCCGCUGGAAUUCGCGGGCUCGCAGAUCACAGGGGCCCGGGCGCGCCAGGCCUGGCGCUCCCGAAUCGAUGAGGAAAGCCGCUCUCCCCGGCAGAUCUUCCCGGCCGGGGCGCCUCCAUCACCCUGCCUGCGCCUCGGCACGCUGGCAAGGAGCCCGGGAAGAGACGCCGGGAGCGGUGGGUGGGCGAGGAACAAAUGCAAUGUGACUACAUUUUUCUUUGUCGCAACUACCACGACCUGGCCAUCCCCCACCUUGGUGACUUGGUGCCUUCCCAGCGACCUUAUUUCACGCCAGCUGACUGGCGUUCACUGCAGUGUGAGUGUCGGCCGGAGGAGGGGUCCACGCGAAGGAGCCCACAAGAGCCGGGCUCUCGGGCCCCGAUGGCCGGAGCGGGAAUCCCGGGCGCCGAUGGCCGCAGGGCGCCGCAGCCGCGUCCGCACUCCCCUCCGCCCCGUUCCAUCGCGUGCGCCCUACCGCGUCUGCGAGCGUGUGGUGAGGGGCCGGCGGGCCCUCUCGGAGGAGAAGACUCCACCCGCCCGCACCACCAGCAGCUCGGCGCCCCUUGCCGGCGGCUGGCCCCACUCUCCGGCAGCGGGGCGCCGGGCUCCGCGACCCUUCGGGCGCUUCCGCCGUGCGCUCGGCUCCUUUCGUGUCCAGGGCGGGGCGGGGCGGGUGGGGCGGGGCCGGCGCCCGGGGUCGGGUGCGCGCGGCGCGGGCGGGCGCCCUCCCAGUGCGCGCGCGCCGUGCAAGGCCCGCGACGCCCGCCCUCCCCAGGCCCCUGCACCCGCGCCGCCCCCUCCCCCUCCUGGCGAGAGUCGGCGGUGGCGGCGGCGGCUGCAGAGAUUGGAAUCCGCCUGCCGGGCUUGGCGAAGGAGGAGGGAGGAGGCAGGAGCGAGGAGGGAGGAGGGCCAAGGGCGGGCAGGAAGGCUAGGGUUCGGCGCGUCCGUCCGCGCGCGGCGAAGAUCGCACGGCCCAAUCGAGGGGCGACCGGGUCGGGGCCGCUGCACGCCGAGGGCGGAGGCCGAGCCGGGCCCCGCUUCGCCCCGGCGGCUCGCCGCGCCCACUCUGCCCGCGCCGAGGGCUGGAGGAUGA